rnacentral:tRNA from 1 species
GCAUGUGGCUGAAUGGUAAAGCACAUGCCUGACAUGCAUGCGGACUUGGGUCCAAUCCCCAGCACUGCA